CUACGGGCUGCAGCAGUGAGGAAUAUUGCACAAUGGGGGGAACCCUGAUGCAGCAACGCCGCGUGGAGGAUGACGCAUUUCGGUGUGUAAACUCCUUUUAUAUGUCAAGAAAAUGACGGUGGCAUAUGAAUAAGCACCGGCUAACUCCGUGCCAGCAGCCGCGGUAAUACGGAGGGUGCAAGCGUUACUCGGAAUCACUGGGCAUAAAGGACGCGUAGGCGGGUUGGAAAGUCAGGUGUGAAAUCCUACAGCUUAACUGUAGAACUGCACUUGAAACUUCUAAUCUAGAGUAUGGGAGGGGGAGAUGGAAUUAGUGGUGUAGGGGUAAAAUCCGUAGAUAUCACUAGGAAUACCUAAAGCGAAGGCGAUCUCCUGGAACAUUACUGACGCUAAGGCGUGAAAGCGUGGGGAGCAAACAGGAUUAGAUACCCCUGUAGUC
rnacentral:rRNA from 1 species